rfam:Gossypium arboreum cultivar AKA8401 contig_45176_1, whole genome shotgun sequence.
UGUUAAAAAUGCCAUCCAUUUAUACUGUUAAAAAUUAGUGUGGUUGAUAGAAUAACUAGAUAGUGACAUGUGACAUGCCACGUGUAUUUUAUGCUGAUGUAUAGGGAUCCAUUUUUAAUAGAAAAAUAGAUGAAAUUGUUAACA